UGUUGUUAUCCAGGAGGUGGGCUUGUCUAGUAAUUUGUUCAAUGGAACGCUUCCAUCUUCAUUGCUUCAGCACCUGGCAGGAGGGAGUUUGAUAUCUUUCAAUGUCAGCAACAACAGUUUCACAGGCCAAAUCCCCACUUCAAUCUUUUGCACCAAUGACCGCAACUCGUCGUCUUCUAUCAGAUUCUUGGAUUAUUCUUUCAAUGAUUUUGAUGGGAUAAUAGUACUAGUUUUGUUAUCCAGGAGGUGGACUUGUCUAGUAAUUUGUUCAAUGGAACGCUCCCAUCUUCAUUGCUUCAGCACCUAGCAGGAGGGAGUUUGAUAUCUUUCAAUGUCAGCAACAACAGUUUCACAGGCCAAAUCCCCACUUCAACCUUUUGCAUCAAUGACCGUAACUCGUCGUCUUCUAUCAGAUUCUUGGAUUAUUCUUCCAAUGAUUUUGAUGGUGUCAUUCAGCCUGGACUAGGAGCAUGUUCCAAUCUGGAGAGGUUUCGAGCAGGUUUCAAUUUUCUAUCCGGGCCUAUUCCUGUUGAUAUUUUUGAUGCUGUCUCUCUUAAAGAAAUAUCACUGCCCCUCAAUA
rnacentral:lncRNA from 1 species